GGGGUGUAGCUCAGUUGGUUUUAGAGCGCUGGCCUGUCACGCCAGAGGCCGCGGGUUCGAGUCCCGUCACUCC
rnacentral:tRNA from 1 species